GAGUUUGAUCAUGGCUCAGAUUGAGCGCUGGCGGCAGGCCUAACACAUGCAAGUCGAACGGUAACAGGAAACAGCUUGCUGUUUCGCUGACGAGUGGCGGACGGGUGAGUAAUGUCUGGGAAACUGCCUGAUGGAGGGGGAUAACUACUGGAAACGGUAGCUAAUACCGCAUAACGUCGCAAGACCAAAGAGGGGGACCUUCGGGCCUCUUGCCAUCAGAUGUGCCCAGAUGGGAUUAGCUAGUAGGUGGGGUAACGGCUCACCUAGGCGACGAUCCCUAGCUGGUCUGAGAGGAUGACCAGCCACACUGGAACUGAGACACGGUCCAGACUCCUACGGGAGGCAGCAGUGGGGAAUAUUGCACAAUGGGCGCAAGCCUGAUGCAGCCAUGCCGCGUGUAUGAAGAAGGCCUUCGGGUUGUAAAGUACUUUCAGCGGGGAGGAAGGGAGUAAAGUUAAUACCUUUGCUCAUUGACGUUACCCGCAGAAGAAGCACCGGCUAACUCCGUGCCAGCAGCCGCGGUAAUACGGAGGGUGCAAGCGUUAAUCGGAAUUACUGGGCGUAAAGCGCACGCAGGCGGUUUGUUAAGUCAGAUGUGAAAUCCCCGGGCUCAACCUGGGAACUGCAUCUGAUACUGGCAAGCUUGAGUCUCGUAGAGGGGGGUAGAAUUCCAGGUGUAGCGGUGAAAUGCGUAGAGAUCUGGAGGAAUACCGGUGGCGAAGGCGGCCCCCUGGACGAAGACUGACGCUCAGGUGCGAAAGCGUGGGGAGCAAACAGGAUUAGAUACCCUGGUAGUCCACGCCGUAAACGAUGUCGACUUGGAGGUUGUGCCCUUGAGGCGUGGCUUCCGGAGCUAACGCGUUAAGUCGACCGCCUGGGGAGUACGGCCGCAAGGUUAAAACUCAAAUGAAUUGACGGGGGCCCGCACAAGCGGUGGAGCAUGUGGUUUAAUUCGAUGCAACGCGAAGAACCUUACCUGGUCUUGACAUCCACGGAAGUUUUCAGAGAUGAGAAUGUGCCUUCGGGAACCGUGAGACAGGUGCUGCAUGGCUGUCGUCAGCUCGUGUUGUGAAAUGUUGGGUUAAGUCCCGCAACGAGCGCAACCCUUAUCCUUUGUUGCCAGCGGUCCGGCCGGGAACUCAAAGGAGACUGCCAGUGAUAAACUGGAGGAAGGUGGGGAUGACGUCAAGUCAUCAUGGCCCUUACGACCAGGGCUACACACGUGCUACAAUGGCGCAUACAAAGAGAAGCGACCUCGCGAGAGCAAGCGGACCUCAUAAAGUGCGUCGUAGUCCGGAUUGGAGUCUGCAACUCGACUCCAUGAAGUCGGAAUCGCUAGUAAUCGUGGAUCAGAAUGCCACGGUGAAUACGUUCCCGGGCCUUGUACACACCGCCCGUCACACCAUGGGAGUGGGUUGCAAAAGAAGUAGGUAGCUUAACCUUCGGGAGGGCGCUUACCACUUUGUGAUUCAUGACUGGGGUGAAGUCGUAACAAGGUAACCGUAGGGGAACCUGCGGUUG
rnacentral:rRNA from 1 species